rnacentral:rRNA from 1 species
GAUCAUGGCUCAGAUUGAACGCUGGCGGCAGGCCUAACACAUGCAAGUCGAGCGGUAGAGAGAAGCUUGCUUCUCUUGAGAGCGGCGGACGGGUGAGUAAUGCCUAGGGAUCUGCCUAGUGGUGGGGGGAUAACGUUCGGAAACGGACGCUAAUACCGCAUACGUCCUACGGGAGAAAGCGGGGGAUCUUCGGACCUCGCGCCAUUAGAUGAGCCUAGGUCGGAUUAGCUAGUUGGUGAGGUAAUGGCUCACCAAGGCGACGAUCCGUAACUGGUCUGAGAGGAUGAUCAGUCACACUGGAACUGAGACACGGUCCAGACUCCUACGGGAGGCAGCAGUGGGGAAUAUUGGACAAUGGGCGAAAGCCUGAUCCAGCCAUGCCGCGUGUGUGAAGAAGGUCUUCGGAUUGUAAAGCACUUUAAGUUGGGAGGAAGGGCAGUAACCUAAUACGUUAUUGUUUUGACGUUACCGACAGAAUAAGCACCGGCUAACUUCGUG